rnacentral:rRNA from 1 species
UACGAAGGGGGCUAGCGUUGCUCGGAAUCACUGGGCGUAAAGGGUGCGUAGGCGGGUCUUUAAGUCAGGGGUGAAAUCCUGGAGCUCAACUCCAGAACUGCCUUUGAUACUGAGGAUCUUGAGUACGGGAGAGGUGAGUGGAACUGCGAGUGUAGCGGUGAAAUGCGUAGAUAUCGAGAGGAACACCUGCGGCGAAGGCGGGUUGCUGGGCUGACACUGACGCUGAGGCGCGAAAGCGUGGGGAGCAAACAGG